GCUCUUCUACAGAACGCUGGCCACAUUUGGCACUGACCCUGCAGGUCUUCAGGCAGAUAUUUUACUUUAUCUGCGCUGGUUCACUGAACAAUCUACUGCUGCGGAAGGACAUGUGCCACUGGUCUAAGGGCGUGCAGAUUCGCUACAACCUCAGCCAUCUGGAGCAGUGGACUAGAGACAUGCAGCUGCCAGAGCUCGGUCAGGCCUGUUCUCUACUUCGCAAUUAAAGCAGAAACAAAUUUUAAAAGCUGAGAUAUAGUUUGCUCAGGAAAUUAUGGAAUGAUUUUUGUUUAUUUUAUUUGCGAAAUACAGUAGACUUCAGCUCUCCCAAGUUGCUAGGAGUUGAAGACUAUAGUUAAUGUUUUUGGGAAGUGAACGCAAAACUUCGAGCUAAGCCAGAAGGCACAGGUAAUUUCUGACUAUUAGCCUUCCGUCAGUCGUGUGUCAUAAGUUAAUUAGAAGUUGCUGACCAAUUAAUUUAUUUCUGUCACUUUUGUCUUCAGAUUUUUUUGUCAUUCCAACGUUCUUAACCAAUUUGACGCGCUUGCAGGCAACUCUGAUGUUUUGUCGCCGAUCAUCCAAGCGGCUCAGCUGCUUCAAGCACGCAAGACCGACGACGACGUGGAGAGCAAGCAUCUGUGAAGUGUGCGAUAAACUUACCCUGCCUCAGAUCGUGAAAAUCUUGAACCUCUAUACACCGGAUGAGUUCGAAGAGCGUAUACCGGCCUCAUUCAUUCAGAAGAUACAACAGCGACUGCUGAAGCGGCCUGCU
rnacentral:lncRNA from 1 species